CGGAGAGGUGUGUGAGGAGAGAGGGUACAUUAUUAAGGAGAGAGCGAGGGAGAAGAGACAUGUUAUAUGGUGACUGAUGAGAGACAUGUUAUAUGGUGACUGAUGAGUGAGAGAACAUAUCUCUGGCUCCAUUAAAAAGUCUAAUUUGUGGACCUUACCAAAACUUGUAAAUAAAGUGUGCCACGAGAUAAACCAUUAAAUGAGUGAUUGCUAUAGAAUAGCUUAUUCUGUGACCAGCCCAUCCAACACACUAGAAUGGUUACAUAUGAAGCAACAAUUAGCAUUAAUAUGGAAAAAAAUUUAAAAAUAAAAAAGUUUUUAGUCCUGGUUGGUAAUACCAAACAGGACUAAAGGAGCCACGUGCAUGCACCUGCAUGGCAGCCCCUUUAAUCCCGG
rnacentral:lncRNA from 1 species